rnacentral:rRNA from 1 species
UUCCGGUUGAUCCCGCCAGAGGCAAUCGCUAUCCGAUUCGGACUAAGCCAUGCGAGCCGCGAGGUGCAAGACCUCGGCGAACUGCUCCGUAAUACGCAGUCAACCUGCCCUGUUCAGGGGGAUAAACUCGGGAAACUGAGCUCAAUACCCCAUAGUCCUCUCUUGCUGGAAUGCUGGGAGGACCAAAGCUACGGCGGAACAGGAUGGGACUGCGGCUGAUUAGGCUGUUGUCGGUGUAAUGAACCGACAAACCGUUGAUCAGUAGGGGCUAUGAAAGUAGGAGCCUCGAGAUGGACUCUGAGACAUGAGUCCAGGUUCUACGGAACGCAGCAGGCGCGAAACCUUUGCAAUGCGUGAAAGCGCGACAAGGCGAGUCGGAGUGCAGUCGUUUAAACGACUGCUUUUGCUAACUGAAAACGGGUUAGUGAAUAAGGGCUGGGUAACACGAGUGCCAGCCGCCGCGGUAAUACUCGGAGCCCGAGUGAUUGCCGCUAUUAUUGGGUCUAAAGCGUCCGUAGCCGGUUCUAUAAGUCCCUGGUGAAAUCUGGCAGCAAACUGUCAGGCGUGCUGGGGUUACUGUAAGACUUGAGACCGGGAGAGGGUAUAGAUACUCGUAGGGUAGGGGUUAAAUCCUAUAAUCCUACGGGGAUCACCUGUGGCGAAGGCGUAUACCUGGAACGGGUCUGACGGUGAGGGACGAAAGCUAGGGGAGCGAUCGGGAUUAGAUACCCCGGUAGUCCUAGCCGUAAACGAUGCCCACUUGGUGUUGCAGUCCUCUUGGGGGAUUGCAGUGCCGAAGCGUAUGUGUUAAGUGGGCCACCUGGGGAGUAUACUCGCAAGGGUGAAACUUAAGGGAAUUGGCGGGGGAGCACACAAAGGGUGGGCGUUGCGGUUCAAAUGGAGUCAACGCCGG